CAAAGGCUGGUGGCCUCCCUGUGAUCCCUGCCUCAGUGAUCAAAAGGGAUCACUCAAUUGGAAAACCCAGACUCUCCCUCAAAUUUCCCAUAGGGGAAGGGUGGAGAGGCAGUCUGGCUGCCAUCAGUUUGGCCUUUGCCCUUUCAAACAGGGUUCCAGGCCCAUGGCUGAUGUUCCACCUAUAAUGAACAAUAAUACUUAUGGCUAAAAGCUAUAUGAAGGCCACAAUUAGCCCUAGCAACAAUGUCAUGCAGAUCCUACUGUCAUUUUUAUUUGGAAGGAGGGAAAAUGAGGCUUGGGGAGGUUGUUAAGGUUACAUCUAAAAAGUGAUAGAACCAGUGUUCAAACUGGGAUGAUUUGACUGAACCAGGGUAUGGGACUGCCUCUGGAAUGCUGGGACCUCUUAAAUGGUUCGUGGAAUCCUACCUCCAGCCCCCACCCCCAGGAAGUAUUGCCCCUGUUUUCUUCCUGACUAGAGAAGCAGCUACCCUUGCAUUUAGCAUUCAUUCAUUUAGUUAUAGUAAAAGACCAAGAGCAACACCCCGGAACCACCAGAACCUUGGAGACAAGUUUCUCAAUCCCAUGGCCCAGGGGCUGACAACACUGCCCAACCUGUUGGGGAUCCUGGCUUGGAGGCCUGAGCCCUUCUUCACCCUGGCUAUCAGAAACAGCAGUGGUAGGGAGUCCCUGUGACUUGCUUUGGGGUCACUGCUCCCAGCCAGGGAUCUGCAGCUAAAACAAGGUCAGAGUGGAAGCCCACCUCUUCUGACCAUCCCUCCCUUUCCAGAGGCUCCAGUCACUGUGACCCCACCCAAAAAUGAGUCCAUAAUGUAAGCCACUUACCUUGUAGUGACCACACUUCACUACUCGUGAGACCUUAGUCUUCUGUGGCCAGAGGAAAGAGGGCAAAUUGGCCAGGGAUCUGGCAGAUAAAAGGGACUAAACAGGAAGUUCUGGGGCCAAAUGGGAGCACCACUGUCCUACCCAAUCCAAACAAGGCAGCAGCACCUCUGUUAUGACCCUGAGGGCAGGCAGGAAGCCAGAGCCUCAGGGCUGGGGUCCAGAGAAGCUCCAUAUCUUCCAGAAGACUCUGAAACUAACCAGAUUCACUAGACCCCUCCCGACCAGACAGAGGAAACAACACAGACUGAGAGUCUCUCUCAGUCUAAAAGAAGCCUCCAAGGUCAGAGGAGCUAAACUGCAAAGUAGACUUUCAGCCAAGCAAGCUGCAAAGACUGAGACCAGACCAGCUGACUGGAGGAAGCAGAAACCACCCAACUGCCUGGAAGAGGUGUAGAGCAGAGUCACCUAGAAAGGACACUUCAACCUGUUGACCUGUCCGCAGGCUGUGCAGUGUGCUCCAGGUUCCCAGCUUUUGUGAGCUGUCACCAUGCUGGGUGGACCUUGGUGAUGCAGCUGUCUUGAGUCAUCCGUGCUCCUGUGAGUGACCCCUCACCCCCAGUAAAACGAAUUGGUUCACCCAGUUGGACUUCAGAGGUGUCCGUACUUCAGUCUGUUGUGGAUUCCGUAUCUGGAGUGAGCAGAUGCGUGUGUUGCCUCUCUCCAGGAAAAGUUUUGCCAAACAUCACAUGAGGGCACCACCUCUUGGCUCUGGGUGCUGAAACCUGACACAUAAACAUGCAUGACAAGGAGCAGCUUUGUGUGGGAAAGCAUGGAAAACUUCACACUCAUCUUGGGAGUCAGCAUCUGUCUGUGGCUGCAGUGCCUCCAGGAAACACAAGCUGCUCUCCCACAGUUCACCUUGCCACACCUCUCGCCCAGUAGCCCAUCAAAAGUUGCCCUUCUUCUCCAGUAUUUAGAACCCGUGUGUGGGUUUCUCCUGUUCAGACGGCAUCCCAUCCAUGUCUGCUAACAGCAUGCACUCUACUGCUACAAUCUCAGAGCUUAGCCCUAACUUCCCACAGUGGCAGUAAACCAGAGGUUCUCAACCUGUGGGUCACAACCCCUUUGGAGGCCAAAUGACCCACAGGGGUCACACAUCAGAUAUCCUGCACAGCAGAUAUUUACAUUAUGAUUCAUAACUAGCAAAAUUAGAGUUAUGAAGUAGCAACGUAAAUAAUUUUAUGGCGGGGUGUCACUACAACAUGAGGAACUGUACUAAAGGGGUGCAGCAUUAGGAAGGUUGAGAACCACUGCUGUAAACAGAUAGCUACUAAUCCUGCAGAAUGGCAGACAACAAGAGUGCUGGAACGAUAAAGGAAGACAGAUGUCACCCUGAUUUCUCAACUGGAGAAGAAAAAACACAAAACCAGGUGUGAAAAUGAUAGUAAUCCUUGGGAAAAUUUUGGAAUUAAAUUUUAGUGUUGUGGUUUAAAAGCAUUUAUUUAAAAAGCAGGAGCCUGUAGUUUCUUAGAUAAAUUGUAUCGUAUCAACUGUUUGUAACAUGAAAAUUAAAUGACCCAGAGACAGAUAUUGAGGUUCAAGCUGAGGAUCAGGGAAAGGAAAGCAACCGGCUACUAGAAAGGGUGGGGUCACACAUGAGCUCUUCUCCAAGUCUCAGACUGCUGUCUCUCCUCAGUAUGCUGCAACUUUUUCUGGUCCUGUCUUAAAUACCUGGGACUAAAGGUGUGAGCUCUGUUACUCUUUUAGACUGAUUCAAUCUUGUGUAAGCUUGAGUGUCCUUGAACUCAGAGACAUCCGUCUGCCUUUGUCUUCCGAGUCCUGGGAUUAAAGGUGUGUGCCUGGGUUCUGUGGCUUGUGGCUGACUUUGCUUUCUGAAUCCUCAGGUAAGCUUUAAUAAAUUAUAAAGAACAUAUCACCAUAACCAUUGAAACCUGGCCUGUUGAUGACCCCUAACUGAGAAUCCUAGUGAUAGUGGAUACAUAAGCCCAACUGUCCAUCUCCUGUGACCAGAAUUGGUGCCUAGCUCAAUUGUCACCAGAGAGGCUUCAUCCAGCAUCUAAUGGAAACAGAUGUAGACCCACAGCCAAACAUUAGUUGGGAUUCAGGGAAUCCUGUAGGAGAGGGAAAGGAGCCAGAAGGGUCAAGGCCAUCACAAGAAAACCCACAUAAUCAACUAACCAGGGCUCAUGGGGCUCUCAGAGACUGAACAGAUAACCAGGGAACCUGCAUGGGACUGACCUAGGCCCUAAGUAUAUAUGUUACAGUUGUGUAGCUGGGUCCUCUUGUAGGACUCCUAAGAGUGGGAGCAGGGGCUGUCUCUGACUCCCUGGCUUUUGGGAUCCUAUUUCUCAUACUGGGUUGCCUUGCCCAGCCUUAAUGCAAUGGGAGACACUUAGUCUACCUGCAACUUGAUAUGCCACAUUUUGUUGAUAUCCAUGGGAGGCCUGCCCUUUUCUGAAUAGAAAUGGAGGAGGAGUGGAUGAGGGCAGGGCAUAGCAUGACUAAUAAAAACCCAGAAAGAGAUAUAUUGGCGAUGAAGCUACAGAUCUGAGAAGCAAAGCAGCUAAUCUCUAGAGACUUCUCACCUUUGCCGAUGCUUAGACCAAAGGGUUGAUCCUUAGACUGCUCCUGACUAUACUGCUCCUCAGACUGCAAUGAGUUCCUGUCUCUUCCCAGCCAUAACAUUCCUGUCUCUGCCUCCUUAGUGCUGGGAUUAAACGUGUGAGCCCUGUUAUUCUUUUAGGCUGAUUCAUUCUCCUGUAGCCCGGGGCCGCCUUGGGCUCACUGAAAUCAAUGUGGCUUAGUCUCCUGAGACCAGGGAUUAAAAGUGUGUGCCUGCACUGCCCUGUUUCUUUAGCUAACUAGUGUGGCUGGCUUUGCAUUCUGAUCCUUCAGGAAAUCUUUAUUAAAUCAUAAAUAAUAUGUCACUGUGGGGGUGGGGGAUAGGAGUGGUGGUAAGGUUGGAGGAAGGGACUGGGACCAGAGGAGAGAGGGGAAACGGCAGCCAGGAUGUAAAAUAAAUGAAUAAAUACAUUAAUUUGUUUUUUUGGCCUGCUUUAUUUUUACUAUGCUUUCUUUG
rnacentral:lncRNA from 1 species